UACGUAGGUGGCGAGCGUUGUCCGGAUUUACUGGGCGUAAAGAGCGCGCAGGCGGUCAUAUAAGUCGAAUGUGAAAGCCCCUGGCUCAACUAGGGAGAGUCAUUCGAUACUGUUCGACUCGAAGGCAGGAGAGGGAAGUGGAAUUCCGGGUGUAGUGGUGAAAUGCGUAGAUAUCCGGAGGAACACCAGUGGCGAAGGCGACUUUCUGGCCUGUUCUUGACGCUGAGGCGCGAAAGCUAGGGGAGCAAACGGG
rnacentral:rRNA from 1 species